rnacentral:rRNA from 1 species
AUUGAACGCUGGCGGCAUGCCUUACACAUGCAAGUCGAACGGUAACAGGUUAAGCUGACGAGUGGCGAACGGGUGAGUAAUGUAUCGGAACGUGCCCAGUCGUGGGGGAUAACUGCUCGAAAGAGCAGCUAAUACCGCAUACGACCUGAGGGUGAAAGCGGGGGAUCGCAAGACCUCGCGCGAUUGGAGCGGCCGAUAUCAGAUUAGGUAGUUGGUGAGGUAAAGGCUCACCAAGCCGACGAUCUGUAGCUGGUCUGAGAGGACGACCAGCCACACUGGGACUGAGACACGGCCCAGACUCCUACGGGAGGCAGCAGUGGGGAAUUCUGGACAAUGGGCGCAAGCCUGAUCCAGCCAUGCCGCGUGCGGGAAGAAGGCCUUCGGGUUGUAAACCGCUUUUGUCAGGGAAGAAAAGGUUCUGGCUAAUACCUGGGACUCAUGACGGUACCUGAAGAAUAAGCACCGGCUAACUACGUG